UUAAGCGACUAAGCGUACACGGUGGAUGCCYUGGCAGUCAGAGGCGAUGAAGGACGUGCUAAUCUGCGAAAAGCGUCGGUAAGGUGAUAUGAACCGUUAUAACCGGCGAUGUCCGAAUGGGGAAACCCAGUGCAAUUCGUUGCACUAUCGUUAACUGAAUACAUAGGUUAACGAGGCGAACCGGGGGAACUGAAACAUCUAAGUACCCCGAGGAAAAGAAAUCAACCGAGAUUCCCCCAGUAGCGGCGAGCGAACGGGGAGCAGCCCAGAGUCUGAAUCAGCUUGUGUGUUAGUGGAACGGUCUGGAAAGUCCGACGGUACAGGGUGAUAGUCCCGUACACCAAAAUGCACAGGUUGUGAACUCGAAGAGUAGGGCGGGACACGUGGUAUCCUGUCUGAAUAUGGGGGGACCAUCCUCCAAGGCUAAAUACUCCUGACUGACCGAUAGUGAACCAGUACCGUGAGGGAAAGGCGAAAAGAACCCCGGCGAGGGGAGUGAAAAAGAACCUGAAACCGUGUACGUACAAGCAGUGGGAGCACCUUCGGGUGUGACUGCGUACCUUUUGUAUAAUGGGUCAGCGACUUAUAUUCUGUAGCAAGGUUAACCGUAUAGGGGAGCCGCAGGGAAACCGAGUCUUAACUGGGCGUUAAGUUGCAGGGUAUAGACCCGAAACCCGGUGAUCUAGCCAUGGGCAGGUUGAAGGUUGGGUAACACUAACUGGAGGACCGAACCGACUAAUGUUGAAAAAUUAGCGGAUGACUUGUGGCUGGGGGUGAAAGGCCAAUCAAACCGGGAGAUAGCUGGUUCUCCCCGAAAGCUAUUUAGGUAGCGCCUCGUGAAUUCAUCUUCGGGGGUAGAGCACUGUUUCGGCUAGGGGGUCAUCCCGACUUACCAACCCGAUGCAAACUACGAAUACCGAAGAAUGUUAUCACGGGAGACACACGGCGGGUGCUAACGUCCGUCGUGAAGAGGGAAACAACCCAGACCGCCAGCUAAGGUCCCAAAGUCAUGGUUAAGUGGGAAACGAUGUGGGAAGGCACAGACAGCCAGGAUGUUGGCUUAGAAGCAGCCAUCAUUUAAAGAAAGCGUAAUAGCUCACUGGUCGAGUCGGCCUGCGCGGAAGAUGUAACGGGGCUAAACCAUGCACCGAAGCUGCGGCAGCGACACUAUGUGUUGUUGGGUAGGGGAGCGUUCUGUAAGCCUGCGAAGGUGWSCUGUGAGGSWUGCUGGAGGUAUCAGAAGUGCGAAUGCUGACAUAAGUAACGAUAAAGCGGGUGAAAAGCCCGCUCGCCGGAAGACCAAGGGUUCCUGUCCAACGUUAAUCGGGGCAGGGUGAGUCGACCCCUAAGGCGAGGCCGAAAGGCGUAGUCGAUGGGAAACAGGUUAAUAUUCCUGUACUUGGUGUUACUGCGAAGGGGGGACGGAGAAGGCUAUGUUAGCCGGGCGACGGUUGUCCCGGUUUAAGCAUGUAGGCUGRUUGUCCAGGCAAAUCCGGAUAAUCAAGGCUGAGGUGUGAUGACGAGGCACUACGGUGCUGAAGUAACAAAUGCCCUGCUUCCAGGAAAAGCCUCUAAGCAUCAGGUAACAUCAAAUCGUACCCCAAACCGACACAGGUGGUCAGGUAGAGAAUACCAAGGCGCUUGAGAGAACUCGGGUGAAGGAACUAGGCAAAAUGGUGCCGUAACUUCGGGAGAAGGCACGCUGGUGUGUAGGUGAAGYCCCUGCGGRUGGAGCUGAGACCAGUCGAAGAUACCAGCUGGCUGCAACUGUUUAUUAAAAACACAGCACUGUGCAAACACGAAAGUGGACGUAUACGGUGUGACGCCUGCCCGGUGCCGGAAGGUUAAUUGAUGGGGUUAUCCGUAAGGAGAAGCUCUUGAUCGAAGCCCCGGUAAACGGCGGCCGUAACUAUAACGGUCCUAAGGUAGCGAAAUUCCUUGUCGGGUAAGUUCCGACCUGCACGAAUGGCGUAAUGAUGGCCAGGCUGUCUCCACCCGAGACUCAGUGAAAUUGAACUCGCUGUGAAGAUGCAGUGUACCCGCGGCAAGACGGAAAGACCCCGUGAACCUUUACUAUAGCUUGACACUGAACAUUGAGCCUUGAUGUGUAGGAUAGGUGGGAGGCUUUGAAGCGUGGACGCCAGUCUGCGUGGAGCCAACCUUGAAAUACCACCCUUUAAUGUUUGAUGUUCUAACGUUGGCCCCUUACCGGGGUUGCGGACAGUGUCUGGUGGGUAGUUUGACUGGGGCGGUCUCCUCCCAAAGCGUAACGGAGGAGCACGAAGGUUAGCUAAUCCUGGUCGGACAUCAGGAGGUUAGUGCAAUGGCAUAAGCUAGCUUGACUGCGAGCGUGACGGCGCGAGCAGGUGCGAAAGCAGGUCAUAGUGAUCCGGUGGUUCUGAAUGGAAGGGCCAUCGCUCAACGGAUAAAAGGUACUCCGGGGAUAACAGGCUGAUACCGCCCAAGAGUUCAUAUCGACGGCGGUGUUUGGCACCUCGAUGUCGGCUCAUCACAUCCUGGGGCUGAAGUAGGUCCCAAGGGUAUGGCUGUUCGCCAUUUAAAGUGGUACGCGAGCUGGGUUUAGAACGUCGUGAGACAGUUCGGUCCCUAUCUGCCGUGGGCGCUGGAGAAUUGAGGGGGGCUGCUCCUAGUACGAGAGGACCGGAGUGGACGCAUCACUGGUGUUCGGGUUGUCAUGCCAAUGGCACUGCCCGGUAGCUAAAUGCGGAAGAGAUAAGUGCUGAAAGCAUCUAAGCACGAAACUUGCCCCGAGAUGAGUUCUCCCUGAGACUUUAAG
rnacentral:rRNA from 1 species